rnacentral:sRNA from 1 species
ACUAGAAGGGCAGACAUCUCUUUGGCAGGACGUCUGGAACAUGGACAGGGAUCCGAAUGAAGAUGACAGUGUGGUGGACCUCAGUUUUGAGGCUGAGAGUCCUCUGGCGCCCCCUACAGAGCUCCUGGAGAGACUGCCCAGCUAUGACUGGCUUCUUCAAGGGGGCAGAGGACAGAUAUUCUUCCCGCCUUUGGAGGCCCCAGGGAGGCCCCAGGAGCAAAGGUCCUGGCCCUCGUUCCUGGAACACAGGAGAUGCCCUCCCCUUUGCAGGAGAUGCCCUCCCCAGUUGGACUGCUGAGGGCUUUACCACUACCGUGGCCUCAGUUUCUCGCCUGCACGUUGAGGAGGCUGGCUGGCCUGCGUGAGUCCACAGGCCCUUCCCAGAAGCCCCUGCCUCUCUGUUCGGUCCCCUGCAGAGUCCCUGCGAUGACGGAGGAGGUGGCCCAGGAAGCCCUCCUCAGCUUUGUGGACUCUAAGUGCUGCUACAGCAGCACGGUGGCUGGAGACCUCGUCAUCCAGGAGAUGAAGCAGCAGACCCUCUGCAGGUACCGUCUGGAGACCUUUAGUGAAUCCAG